rnacentral:sRNA from 1 species
AGUUUCAUGUCUGUUAUCUACUUUGUCUUUUACUUUUUCUUUACAUCUUCAUCUUCAUCUUUUAUUCUUCUCUGCUAAUCACAUCAUCUUCUUGUUGACUUGAUCACUGAGCUCAAACUCAUCUGUCAUCUUUUCUUGAUCUCUCUGCUUGAUCUCUGAUUGAUCCUCAGCAGUAUCUGUUAUAAAACCCUUCUUGUACUCUUUCUAUUUCUUAGAAUGUUUUUCUUAUCACUAAUCUUGAUUCUUUGAGUUAUUCUUCAGUUCUAUCUUGUGAUCACUCAAAAUGACACUCAGACACAAAUUCAAUGCUCACAGCAAAAAUAAAACACUCAGGUCCUCAGCUGACAAGAAAAACAACAUCUCAGAAUUCAAUGCUGACAGCAGAGAUGAUAUCUUAGCUGCAUCUGAUCAUGAUCAGAAGAACAGACUCAUGUCUGACAUUAUGUACAGAUCUGAUCAUUCAGCUUAUAAAACAUCUCAGCAUUAUAUCCACCAUGCUGCUCUCUAUUUCUUCAAGAAGGAAC